GGGGGCGAACUAGAUUCGACGGGGAUAGACGCCAGGUUGGACAGCGAGCCGAGGUCCGUGCCUCGUUAAACAGCGGAACAGCUUAACUGCGAACAACAACAACGAAGAAUACGCUUUAGCUGCCUAAUUCGCGGCUAACGUUCCUCAUCGGCGUUCCUACCACGGAUGAGACAACGUAAACAAUGUAGGAUACCCUAUUGUCUAGCCCGAGGCGAUAGGGGAAACUAGGGCUGGUUCGGAGCCAUCUUGCAUCGCCUGGUGGAUCCGAAUGAGAAUAUAGGCGGUGCUACGCUCGUAGAAAUCUCUCAUGACGUAUCUUCGGACGGGACGGGCAGCACGUCCCCGCCUCCACCA
rnacentral:tmRNA from 1 species